GACGAACGCUGGCGGCGUGCCUAACACAUGCAAGUCGAGCGAAAGGACGAUAAGUUUGCGGCGCGCACGUGAGGCGCGGACGGGUGAGAAACGCGUGGAUAACCCACCUAUAUGACUGGUAUAACUUCGAGAAAGGGGAGCAAAUACCAGAGAAUAUUCUGAACCGCAGGGUGCAAAAGAGAAUGACGGUGUUGCUGUCACGUAUAGAGGCAUCCGCGCUUCAUUGGGUAGGUGGUAAGGUAACAGCCUACCAAGGCAACGAUGCGUAGCCGACGUGAGAGAGUGGUCGGCCGCACUGGAACUGGGACACGGUCCUGAGUCCUACGGGAGGCCGCAGUCGCGAAUCUUCCGCAAUGGUGGAAAACCUGGCGCAGCGGCGCCACGUGUGUGAUGACAACCCUCGGUUCGUGAAGCCCUCUUUCUGGUUGUAAACCGCUUUCUCCUGUGCUGUACCGUGCGUGACGGUAACGGAUCAAGAAGCCCCGGCUAACUACGUG
rnacentral:rRNA from 1 species